rnacentral:rRNA from 1 species
GGACCCAUACCAGCGGUGGAGCAUGUGGUUUAAUUCGAUACUACGCGCAAAAACCUUACUCGUUCUUGACUUGGGAGGGGGAGGACCCCGAGAGGGUGUCUUCCAUUGCCUCCCACAGGUGUUGCAUGGCUGUCGUCAGCUCGUGUCGUAAGAUGUUUGGUUCAGUCCUUUAACGAGCGCAACCCCUGUCCUUGGUUGGCAGGUCCCCCCGAGGGGCCCCAUCUCCAAGGAGACUGCCAGUGAGAAGCUGGAGGAAGGUAGGGAUGACGUCAAGUCCUCAUGGCCCUUAUGAACGAGGCUACACACGUGCUACAAUGGCAGGGACAAAGGGAAGCCAAAGGGUGACCUGGAG